rnacentral:rRNA from 1 species
UACAGAGGGGGCAAGCGUUGUUCGGAAUUACUGGGCGUAAAGGGCGCGUAGGCGGCCUGUUAAGUCGGACGUGAAAUCCCUCGGCUCAACCGGGGAACUGCGUCCGAAACUGGCGGGCUUGAAUUCGGGAGAGGGAUGUGGAGUUCCAGGUGUAGCGGUGAAAUGCGUAGAUAUCUGGAGGAACACCGGUGGCGAAGGCGGCAUCCUGGACCGACAUUGACGCUGAGGCGCGAAAGCCAGGGGAGCAAACGGG